GUCUGUAUAACCAAUGUGAACCCCGGAGCAAGUCUCAGCAAGUACCAUUUCUCUCCUUAGAGGAGUCUCCUAGUGGUUCCCGUCCAGACCUGGGAAAGUAUCCAACUCUCUGUGCCUCAAUAUACUGGUCUGUUAAAUGGGCCUCCUAGGAAACUCAGUGAAGUAAGCAAUACAAAUAAAUGCCUUAUGAGGUCACAGAGGUCACCCAGAAUCCCAACCCUCUGCUUUGAUGCCCUCAGUCUGUUCUCUACACUUGCCGAAGCACAUUUGUGCAGGAGAGCCAAAGCUAUGAGCCUCCCUGAGUGGGGAUGGUCAGGCAGAACUAAAAAGGCCAAGUUCUGUACCUUGAGGCGUCACUACCCAGAAUUUCCCGGCCCUCAUGAGGCCUGCAUCUCUCGCAACGAGCCACCAGGAGGCGCCCCGCGCCUACAAAUCCUCCUCAGGGCCGCCUACGUGAGGAAGUGUUUCCCUGACCGCAGCCAGGCUUCCACAGCUGAGCAGGCUACAGUGUGGCCAAGGUCCCGCCACUGAGCCUGCCACCAAUGCUUCUCCGGCUCCCACCAAGGCCAAGUUUCUGCUCUUUUCCUGAGUCCCCACCUGCGAAUGUCUCAGCCUCAUUGCAAGCACAGCGACCAUUGCUGGUCAGGGUCUGGUUUGGUCUGUUCUCAUCACGGCCACAGCUCCUUAGUCUCAGUCCAUCCCAGGUUUCUAUGCAGCAAAUGUUACUGCUGCUUUGUUCAGACUCAUCCUGUGCGUUAACGCUUAGGCCUGGGCCACCGGGGCGGGAGGUCAGAGCCUGCAAGAGAACAGUCACUGCCUACCGGGACUUCUCCUGGCUUCCUUAAUCGUGGGUAGAGGCUCCACUUGGAAACCACCAGCGGCAAACAGCUCCUGAAUUUUUUUGAUUACAUUUUUAGUUAUGUUUUGUUUGUUUGUUGUCUGUGAACUUAUGUCACAUCAAGUGUGUGCAGGUCAGAGGACAACUUGCAGGUGUCAAUUCUUCCCUUCAACCAUGUGGGUCUCUGGGAUUGAACGCUGGCCCUUAGGCUUAGACACAGUUACCCACUCAGUCGUUUAUCCAGCCUUCAAAAGUAUAGUAUUUUUAAAUACUUGUAAGCUGGAGAUGGUGGUACAGAUGUACAGUCCUGCUAUUUGCUGUCUGAGAUGGUGCCUGUGUAGCCAGCACCUUCAUGGGGGUUUUGCAUAGGGAACAUUGUUGAUCUCUCAACAGCCCAGUGACAGAGGUCUGGGCUUGACUCCAUUGAAAAAGAUGUCCCUCAGGCUGGAGGGACCUUAAGUGAUUUGCUGAUGAGCUGAACAGCUGACCAGGUCCUCCAUGCCCCCUUACCUCCUCCUGAGACCUUCUCUUUAUAACCCCCUCCCACACAUAGGCACUCAGGACCCCCAAUAGCCAGAUCUAUUCCAGCUCCCAGCUCAGAGUAGGCUCCUCUGCAUCUUCGAUGGUGAGCUAGGCUGGGGCUGGCUUUAGUUGUAGGGCCAGAUCCUCCCUGUACAGUGGCCCUGGAGAGAACCACACUGACCCUAGCGGUUGGAAGCACAGUUGCUAGAUCCCC
rnacentral:lncRNA from 1 species